CAGUGCUGGUCUCCAGGUCCUCCUGGGCAUAGGCGCCGCUAGAAUGGUCAGCUGGCACUCUAAGUCAAUCAGUAGCUCCCUGUUCAUAAAAAUGGCUUUGAAAUUUGCAAACAUGGUCUGUCCCACGGUGCAUGUAUAUGGCUAUAUGAUCCUGUAAUAUACUAAAGGUACAGAUGCCCAAGACUCAUUGAUGUACAUGGGAAGUGACAGAUAACCAGUUGGCUCAGAUCAUACAGAAGAGCUACUGUAGCUCAAAUUUCUGAAAAAAGUAAUGUUGGCCAUGAUACAAAGAUGUCAGAACACAAAGUGCAUCCCAGUUUGCAGCGUAUGGGGCUGUGUAGCCACAGACCAGUCAGAAUGCACAUGAUGACCCCUGUCCACAGCCUAAAGAGCCUUCAAUGGGGACGUGAGCAUCAGAACUGGACCAUGGAGCAAUGGAAGGACGCCUGGUCUGAUGGAUCGCUGAUGGCAGUGGUCUCUUUCUGCAGGUAAUGCAUACUGCCACACUGCAAAAAUGUUUGGGAAUGGUUUAAGGAACAUGGCAAUGACUUCAAGG